rnacentral:other from 1 species
ACAGGCCUACCCUAUUCGUUAGUGCAAAAAUAUUUUUGGGGCCUACAUGUGAGCUAAUAGGGAGCUCGGUAGGUUCAGAGGCGUCUUUUUAUAGACCUUCUGACAGAGCACCCACCUAUAAAAACAGGAGGCCCGCAUGUAUGUUUGCACGACGGUAGGGCGGGUUUUAA